rnacentral:miRNA from 1 species
AAAAAUUUAAACACUUUGUGAUAC